CAUUAAUCUAGGACCUGGCGAGGAUUGGUUCAGAGAGCAAGCAUCGUUCUGCAGUAUCUUAAGGACGCUGGUUGGGCUGAGGGUGGUCGACUUAUAGGUUGCACCCAGCCAAGACGAUUGGCUGUGCAGAUAUCCAUGAAGCCAGCCUCAUGACACUUGACGAAACACGUGCGUACGUCAAUGGUGUUGUUCAAGCUAGGAACAAUGGAGGCUAGAAGUAUCUGUGUACACAAGUGCACAAUUUGUCUUAGAUAUAAAAAUGUAUGAACGCUUUGCAUGCAACAUUUUGUUGCCAAUUGUCACAUUAUGAAGUGUUCGCUUAUGUCUUGGAGGUUUAAUAAUAUGUGAUAUUCAAUAAAAAAAAUCUAUUUAACAGUGUCGUCAUAUUUCGGAGCCAUAUACUGUGAAGUUCUGAACUAUAUAUUUGACUAAUA